rnacentral:tRNA from 1 species
AAGAGAUUAGUUAAAUAAAUAACAUUAAUUUGUCAAAUUAAAAUUAUUCAUAAUAAUAUCUCUUA